rnacentral:rRNA from 1 species
ACAGUGGACGCGAGCAUCUGUGGCCAAGUUUUUAAGGGCGCACGGUGGAUGCCUUGGCACCAGGAACCGAUGAAGGACGUGGGAGGCCACGAUAGUCCCCGGGGAGUCGUCAACCAGGCUUUGAUCCGGGGGUUUCCGAAUGGGGAAACCCGGCAGUCGUCAUGGGCUGUCACCCGCUGCUGAACUCAUAGGCAGUGUGGAGGGAACGCGGGGAAGUGAAACAUCUCAGUACCCGCAGGAAGAGAAAACAACCGUGAUUCCGGGAGUAGUGGCGAGCGAAACUGGAUGAGGCCAAACCGUAUGUGUGUGAUACCCGGCAGGGGUUGCGCAUGCGGGGUUGUGGGAUCUCUCUUCCACGGUCUGCCGGCCGUGGGACGAGUCAGAAACCGUUGAUGUAGGCGAAGGACAUGCGAAAGGUCCGGCGUAGAGGGUAAGACCCCCGUAGUCGAAACAUUAGCGGCUCGUUUGAGAGACACCCAAGUAGCACGGGGCCCGAGAAAUCCCGUGUGAAUCUGGCGGGACCACCCGCUAAGCCUAAAUAUUCCCUGGUGACCGAUAGCGGAUAGUACCGUGAGGGAAUGGUGAAAAGUACCGCGGGAGCGGAGUGAAAUAGUACCUGAAACCGUGUGCCUACAAGCCGUGGGAGCGUCGCGCA